UCUGAUAUUUGUACUGUAUUUAAUGAUAAUAAAACCAUUGAUAGGAAAAGAAACCAACAGUAAUCCAUGUACAGUGUAAUGAUGGGGUAGUUUAUGAAUGUAUCCAUUUGUCAGGUCUAGUGUCAGGUAUCGUGUAGAAAGCACUGACUUCUUUUCAUGAUUAUUGUAUGCAGAGUUGUGUGUAUUCGGAACUUAAUAUCUCAAUGUAUUCAAUUGUCUGUGUGGACAAGUGAGGUUGUUUGAAUGAGAGAAGAAAAAAUUAGAUUAUUUCUAGUCAUACAGCAUUAUUGAAUAUCAAACAUUGUGAGGAGAUGAAACAAAAGUUGAAAAGUGCUUAUUCAUAUAACAUUUAAUUUAGUGCACUCGGACAAAACAUUCCAGAUAUAAAUAUAUAUUGUGCUGGCACUUCAGUUCUAGACAGAUAAGAAAUUGUUUGUGAGAAAGCUAAUUUAUUAUGAUUUUUAGAAAUUAUCAUUAUUGUAGCAUUUGCAUUAUAUACAUAGUAAAAUAUAUGGUAAAUGU
rnacentral:misc_RNA from 1 species